UACGGAGGGCGCAAGCGUUGUUCGGAAUCAUUGGGCGUAAAGCGCGUGUAGGCGGUUUGGUAAGUCGGGUGUGAAAUCCCGGGGCUCAACCCCGGAACUGCAUUCGAAACUGCCUGGCUAGAGUCCCGGAGGGGAGGGCGGAAUUCCCGGUGUAGAGGUGAAAUUCGUAGAUAUCGGGAGGAACACCAGCGGCGAAGGCGGCCCCCUGGACGGGGUCUGACGCUGAGGCGCGAAAGCGUGGGGAGCAAACAGG
rnacentral:rRNA from 1 species